GAUGAACGCUGGCGGCGUGCCUAAUACAUGCAAGUCGAGCGAACAGAUGAGGAGCUUGCUCCUCUGACGUUAGCGGCGGACGGGUGAGUAACACGUGGAUAACCUACCUAUAAGACUGGGAUAACUUCGGGAAACCGGAGCUAAUACCGGAUAAUAUAUUGAACCGCAUGGUUCAAUAGUGAAAGACGGUUUUGCUGUCACUUAUAGAUGGAUCCGCGCCGCAUUAGCUAGCUGGUAAGGUAACGGCUUACCAAGGCAACGAUGCGUAGCCGACCUGAGAGGGUGAUCGGCCACACUGGAACUGAGACACGGUCCAGACUCCUACGGGAGGCAGCAGUAGGGAAUCUUCCGCAAUGGGCGAAAGCCUGACGGAGCAACGCCGCGUGAGUGAUGAAGGCCUUCGGAUCGUAAAACUCUGUUAUUAGGGAAGAACAAAUGUGUAAGUAACUAUGCACGUCUUGACGGUACCUAAUCAGAAAGCCACGGCUAACUACGUG
rnacentral:rRNA from 1 species